rnacentral:rRNA from 1 species
UUAAGCGACUAAGCGUACACGGUGGAUGCCCUGGCAGUCAGAGGCGAUGAAGGACGUGCUAAUCUGCGAUAAGCGUCGGUAAGGUGAUAUGAACCGUUAUAACCGGCGAUUUCCGAAUGGGGAAACCCAGUGUGUUUCGACACACUAUCAUUAACUGAAUCCAUAGGUUAAUGAGGCGAACCGGGGGAACUGAAACAUCUAAGUACCCCGAGGAAAAGAAAUCAACCGAGAUUCCCCCAGUAGCGGCGAGCGAACGGGGAGCAGCCCAGAGCCUGAAUCAGUGUGUGUGUUAGUGGAAGCGUCUGGAAAGGCGUGCGAUACAGGGUGACAGCCCCGUACACAAAAAUGCACAUGCUGUGAGCUCGAUGAGUAGGGCGGGACACGUGGUAUCCUGUCUGAAUAUGGGGGGACCAUCCUCCAAGGCUAAAUACUCCUGACUGACCGAUAGUGAACCAGUACCGUGAGGGAAAGGCGAAAAGAACCCCGGCGAGGGGAGUGAAAAAGAACCUGAAACCGUGUACGUACAAGCAGUGGGAGCACGCUUAGGCGUGUGACUGCGUACCUUUUGUAUAAUGGGUCAGCGACUUAUAUUCUGUAGCAAGGUUAACCGAAUAGGGGAGCCGAAGGGAAACCGAGUCUUAACUGGGCGUUAAGUUGCAGGGUAUAGACCCGAAACCCGGUGAUCUAGCCAUGGGCAGGUUGAAGGUUGGGUAACACUAACUGGAGGACCGAACCGACUAAUGUUGAAAAAUUAGCGGAUGACUUGUGGCUGGGGGUGAAAGGCCAAUCAAACCGGGAGAUAGCUGGUUCUCCCCGAAAGCUAUUUAGGUAGCGCCUCGUGAAUUCAUCUCCGGGGGUAGAGCACUGUUUCGGCAAGGGGGUCAUCCCGACUUACCAACCCGAUGCAAACUGCGAAUACCGGAGAAUGUUAUCACGGGAGACACACGGCGGGUGCUAACGUCCGUCGUGAAGAGGGAAACAACCCAGACCGCCAGCUAAGGUCCCAAAGUCAUGGUUAAGUGGGAAACGAUGUGGGAAGGCCCAGACAGCCAGGAUGUUGGCUUAGAAGCAGCCAUCAUUUAAAGAAAGCGUAAUAGCUCACUGGUCGAGUCGGCCUGCGCGGAAGAUGUAACGGGGCUAAACCAUGCACCGAAGCUGCGGCAGCGACGCUGAUGCGUUGUUGGGUAGGGGAGCGUUCUGUAAGCCUGCGAAGGUGUGCUGUGAGGCAUGCUGGAGGUAUCAGAAGUGCGAAUGCUGACAUAAGUAACGAUAAAGCGGGUGAAAAGCCCGCUCGCCGGAAGACCAAGGGUUCCUGUCCAACGUUAAUCGGGGCAGGGUGAGUCGACCCCUAAGGCGAGGCCGAAAGGCGUAGUCGAUGGGAAACAGGUUAAUAUUCCUGUACUUGGUGUUACUGCGAAGGGGGGACGGAGAAGGCUAUGUUGGCCGGGCGACGGUUGUCCCGGUUUAAGCGUGUAGGCUGGUUUUCCAGGCAAAUCCGGAAAAUCAAGGCUGAGGCGUGAUGACGAGGCACUACGGUGCUGAAGCAACAAAUGCCCUGCUUCCAGGAAAAGCCUCUAAGCAUCAGGUAACAUCAAAUCGUACCCCAAACCGACACAGGUGGUCAGGUAGAGAAUACCAAGGCGCUUGAGAGAACUCGGGUGAAGGAACUAGGCAAAAUGGUGCCGUAACUUCGGGAGAAGGCACGCUGAUAUGUAGGUGAAGUCCCUCGCGGAUGGAGCUGAAAUCAGUCGAAGAUACCAGCUGGCUGCAACUGUUUAUUAAAAACACAGCACUGUGCAAACACGAAAGUGGACGUAUACGGUGUGACGCCUGCCCGGUGCCGGAAGGUUAAUUGAUGGGGUNGCGAAGCUCUUGAUCGAAGCCCCGGUAAACGGCGGCCGUAACUAUAACGGUCCUAAGGUAGCGAAAUUCCUUGUCGGGUAAGUUCCGACCUGCACGAAUGGCGUAAUGAUGGCCAGGCUGUCUCCACCCGAGACUCAGUGAAAUUGAACUCGCUGUGAAGAUGCAGUGUACCCGCGGCAAGACGGAAAGACCCCGUGAACCUUUACUAUAGCUUGACACUGAACAUUGAGCCUUGAUGUGUAGGAUAGGUGGGAGGCUUUGAAGUGUGGACGCCAGUCUGCAUGGAGCCGACCUUGAAAUACCACCCUUUAAUGUUUGAUGUUCUAACGUNAUCCGGGUUGCGGACAGUGUCUGGUGGGUAGUUUGACUGGGGCGGUCUCCUCCUAAAGAGUAACGGAGGAGCACGAAGGUUGGCUAAUCCUGGUCGGACAUCAGGAGGUUAGUGCAAUGGCAUAAGCCAGCUUGACUGCGAGCGUGACGGCGCGAGCAGGUGCGAAAGCAGGUCAUAGUGAUCCGGUGGUUCUGAAUGGAAGGGCCAUCGCUCAACGGAUAAAAGGUACUCCGGGGAUAACAGGCUGAUACCGCCCAAGAGUUCAUAUCGACGGCGGUGUUUGGCACCUCGAUGUCGGCUCAUCACAUCCUGGGGCUGAAGUAGGUCCCAAGGGUAUGGCUGUUCGCCAUUUAAAGUGGUACGCGAGCUGGGUUUAGAACGUCGUGAGACAGUUCGGUCCCUAUCUGCCGUGGGCGCUGGAGAACUGAGGGGGGCUGCUCCUAGUACGAGAGGACCGGAGUGGACGCAUCACUGGUGUUCGGGUUGUCAUGCCAAUGGCACUGCCCGGUAGCUAAAUGCGGAAGAGAUAAGUGCUGAAAGCAUCUAAGCACGAAACUUGCCCCGAGAUGAGUUCUCCCUGAC